CAAAUAGGAACCAAUAAGGAGAGUGUUUUCAUUUCCAGCACUGGAGGCAACUCCUGUGUUCCCUUGGAGAUCUGAAUCAGAGCCGGUGAUUCAUUUCCCAUCCCACCUUGAACUGUGCUGAAGGAGAAGCAUUGAAAUCGAAAGUAGAUGAAAGAAGAAAAUUGCAAAUUACCCAGGUUUUUGAGGCCAAUUUUCAAAAGGAAAGCAAACAACCUGUGACAUGCAAGGGUUUAUCAUAUAAUUGCUGCUUCAGCAAGCAUCAAUGCUAUCUACGUGGAAGCUGUGUUUCUCCCUGGAGGCUGUAUCUCCUGAAGAUGUCAGGAGCAGUCUGCCUUGUCUGUGUCUUUGUACAGUCAGCCUCUGACUAUAUCCAGGAUCUGCUGAGUCCUGGAAUAUAGCCAGAGCCUGACUGGUAAGUUCCUGCACUGGUGAAGCUUUUAUUAACACUCCUUGCUCCUGAUUGAAGGACUGUGUGUAUUCAAAUUUAGCAAAAGACCAGGAGCCAAUAAGGGGAGUGUUCUCAUUUCCAGCAAUGGAGGCAAAUCAUGUAGUUGCCUUGGAGACCUCCAUCAGGGCUGCUGACUCAUUUCUCCUCCCACCAG
rnacentral:lncRNA from 1 species